CAGUGUCACAAGUUGCCUUACAUUGGUAAGUUUAGCUGUGCUUGUUGCAAACUGUUGAAUUUUGUGUUUUCUGAUCCUAAGCUUAGUUUGAUCCUAGGCUCUGAUUGUGGCAGAUUGGUUAAGUUCCCUCCCAUGCGUUUAAAUUGACAGCCAAUCAGAACCAGGUAUGUGUAAUAUAAGGGCUGGGAGUAGGCCAACUGGGAUGCAUCAUUGCUAGCUCCACCCCUUGGGGCGUGUGGGCUUCCAUCUAAAAGGUAUGUGUUUAGCUGUUUGGUAAAUAUGACGUGAACUUGUACGUAUCAAAUGAAGUUAUUUACUUAUUGUAGUUGGAAUUGGAUCUUGUUCGCAACUUCGUGAUGGUGUGUAGGCUGUUAUUUCCCUCCAUCUGGUUUAUUCACCUGAAUAUGAUUGUCAAGUCAUUGAGUAAACAGCUAUGAUUCAUUCUGUGAUCAACCAUUUUGUCUUGCAGACCAAUUGUCGGUAUGUAUGAUUUAUUUAUUUUCCAAAUAAGUGAUUCGAUUUAAGUUUUUAAUAGUUUGUUUUUAUCAGGACGAACAAUGUUUGUUGGGAGUGGUCCAUCUUAGUGAUUGGGAUGAUCCUUUCCUACAUGGAGGGACAUUUAAGACUGUGUUGCUGUUUUGUUGCUUUGUUUUGCUUGCUAUUAUGUUAUAAUUGUUUGUUGCUUUUAAGCACUGUGCAUGUUUCAUAUAAUUGGUGUUCUGUGUGUUAGGCCUGGUGUCUGGAGGCUGGUUGUACUAGAGCCUUGGUGGUGUUUGGAGCACUGAGAUUGGAUUGCCCCUUGUGAUCACUUGCUUCACGUGUGUGUGUGUUAAGAAUAAUCACUUCACAGCUAGCCUACCUGGCCACAGCAAACAAAAAGAUGCAAGACCGCAAACUUUCCAGUUCUCCUCUGUACUGAUAAUCCGGUUUCAACCCAGUCCCAGGAGAUUAUAUUAAACCUGGAAAGUAUUGGGGAAGAUCCAUUAGGUUUUCAGGAGCACAUUACUGUGAUAAAUGCUGAACUACGUAAAAGACAACUUGACUACACCAACAUCUCAAAAAUCUAAUGAUAUGCGCUCUUUUUAAAAGAGUUGAUUUAAUGACAAAAUCAACAUGAGAGGUCAUAGAUAUGUUUCCAUUUCUUCGGGUUCCACAACUUGUGAGUAUUUGUUUUUAGGGUUGUUUCCUUUUGAGUGUAGUAUUUCCACUGCAUUUUCAAUUUAUUUUUUUGUAUGAAUAAAAAGUCAAAAUUGUUUUAAUGAAUUCUUCCUAUUUUCUUUUUUUUUUUUGGUAGCUGCUGCAUGAAGUGAAGAUGCGGUUUGGGAAGGACCUUUAUCUUAAUCUAGAGACUGCUCUUUAAGUUCUGAACGGUUUACUUCAGCAAAUUAACGCAAACACAAAGUAUGUUUUUUUUUUUUUUUUUUCCAUAACACUACCAUUUAGUUGCUUGGUUUGUUGAACGGUUACUGUAAUCGAUUUAUACCAUGGUUUGUCUGAAUAUCUGAUUCUGAUUGGCUAAAAGUGUUCAUUAAAAUACUUUGAUUCACAGGUAGUUCCAGUCAGUUUAAUUACAAUUAAAGUUUAAUGUGCUGCUGCAAUGACAUGUGCAAGUGUCUUGUUUGCAUGCAAGUCACCUUUAUUUAUAUAGCACUUUAAACUAAAUGCAUUCAGUCAAAGCAACUGAACAACA